rnacentral:rRNA from 1 species
GACUCUCGGCAACGGAUAUCUCGGCUCUCGCAUCGAUGAAGAACGUAGCGAAAUGCGAUACUUGGUGUGAAUUGCAGAAUCCCGUGAACCAUCGAGUCUUUGAACGCAAGUUGCGCCCGAAGCCGUUAGGCUGAGGGCACGCCUGCCUGGGCGUCACGCA